GGCUUUAUAGUCAAGUUGAUGAUAUUAGACUGCAAUUCUAAAGUAGUAUUUUACUAAAGCUU
rnacentral:tRNA from 1 species